rnacentral:rRNA from 1 species
UGGGGAAUCUUGCGCAAUGGGCGAAAGCCUGACGCAGCAACGCCGCGUGUGUGAUGAAGGUCUUCGGAUCGUAAAGCACUGUCGCGAGGGACGAAUAAGGGUCGGGUGAACAAUCCGGUCCGAUGACGGUACCUCGAGAGGAAGCACCGGCUAACUCUGUGCCAGCAGCCGCGGUAAUACAGAGGGUGCGAGCGUUGUUCGGAAUUAUUGGGCGUAAAGCGCGGGUAGGCGGCUUAGCAAGUCAGGUGUGAAAGCCCUCGGCUUAACCGAGGAAGGGCGCCUGAAACUGCUGAGCUUGAGUACCGGAGAGGGCAGCGGAAUUCCCGGUGUAGAGGUGAAAUUCGUAGAUAUCGGGAGGAACACCAGCGGCGAAGGCGGCUGCCUGGACGGUCACUGACGCUGAGACGCGAAAGCGUGGGGAGCAAACA